GGUUGGGUGGGAUGGGGUGGGGAAUAGACUUCUUGCAUCUAGUCUGUGAGUUCGUUCCCUCUCUCAUGAGUCAUGAUAACCAAAAUGCAUCCCCUUCUGCCUGCUAAAGGAAUGCUGACAUUGGAUGUUGCCUGGCAGGACUAAGUGGUGCGCUCUGCCCCGGCUUUGACUUUAUUUAUUUAUUACUGGAGGCUGUAAACAGCAGUGCUUUUUUACCCUCUCUUUCUUUUCCUUUCUUUUGUAUUUGGGAACAAUGUGUUGUAAUAAAUUCCUAAUAGAUGUUUUAACAGCCAGUGUCAGUUUUGUUCUUUAAUGAUGUGUGUGUGUGUGUGUGGAGUGACAAGGGAGGAAGAAAAGGGGGGGUAAUGAGAGCAUUCAUAGAGGAUCACAAUAAAGCUGAUGGGAGCAACGGUCAGGUCAGCUAAAACAACAGUAUUUUACUGUUCCAACCAAGAAAGCCCACAUUCUGCCAUAGAACCAGUGCUGGGAUGUGAAGAGGGGCAGCCUUCCCCAACCUGAUGUCGUCCAGAUAUUUUGGAUAGCUCCAUUGGUAGAAUAUGAGACACUCAGUCUUGGGGUCUUAUGGACUGCAGGGGGUUGGACUAGAUGAUCCUCGUGGUCUCUUCCAAGUCUACAAUUCUGUUAUUCUGCAUCUCCCAUCAGCCCCACCCGGUUGGUGAAGGCUGGAAUAGGGAUGCCAGAGAAAUGAAAUCUCUGAAGAUUCCUAUAUGACACUGUUUUAGAAAUUACCUAUAAUUCCCAGGCAACCCAUUUAAGAGGUAGACAUACAGGAAGACUCGGGAAAUCACCUCAAGACACUUUAUUUCUGAUCUGAAAGGCUCCCAGCAGACACACAAAUGAAGGCCAGGACACACUUACUGGUAAUGGUCAGGCUGGAAGCCCCUAGCAAAAAUUAAGCAAUGGUCUUUAUAGGGUAGGGUAGGAUAAGUUAUGUUUAGGCUACCACAGUUUGUCCAGACUGAGCAUGCCCAUUCCAGAACCUUCUAACUAGCUCAAAUACUGACCAAUCAUAAAACCUCGCCCCAUAUAUCAGAACCAAUUACAGAACAUCAACCCACUUAACAUAGCACCACACCUAGAAUGUUCCCCCCAACUCCACUUCCCAUCCAAGUUCACACAAAGUUUACCUCAAAAGAGACUUGUCUUAACAGUAGAAAAAGCCAUUUCCCCACCCCACCCCCAUACACAAAACCAGAUUGGCACCUCCCAGACUUCUCUGAAUUUCGUGACAGUUUGCCACCAUUUCAGUGGCAACAACCUGCUGCAUAAUGGUGGGAUGGAAGUUGCCCCGCAGGCUGAAGGUUUUGUACCUGCGCAGCUGGGGAUGGUUACAAACAUGUAGGAAGAAAGCAUGAUGAAUUCUAUAUUGGUAUGGUACACUGAGCUAUAGGCAGGUACAAGUUAGGGAACGCAUUGAAGCUUAGAAGAGGCAAUAGGUUCUUAGAACUAUCCAGAUAAAUAUUUAAAGUGCUAUAUUUAAAAAGAAACCCAUGUCCACAAACAAAAACGGGUAAGAUUGAAAACAAAAGAAUACAAAUGCACAAUGGCUUAAAUGCUAACUAGAGAUAACUGGUGAAUAAGGAGGCAUGGACCAAUUAUUUAUUUAUUAGCUAUAAAUAUUUAUGCCCCACCUUUCCAUGAAUCAUGCCCAAGGCAGCCAAAAGCAGCAGUAGAUACAAAAAAUCAAUAAAACAAUUAUGGUUGUAUCAGGACGGGAUGAUGGAGUUAACCAGAAGGCAUUACUCACUUUUAAGUGUGUGAGAGAUCCACAUAAAAACACCCAGACAGAAGUUCCCUUAAUUCGAAUAAAUUUAAAGAAGCUGACACAAAAUUACAGUGAAAAAAUAGUUUUGAGACCUGACAUUCACCAUAUGUUUGGUCCCAAUAUUCGGAAAGGUUUCCAUAUCCACCUAAAAUAAGUUUGUUUUAGUGGCUCUAAAACAGAGGUGGCUGUCCUGUGGCUGUCAGGUUUUAUUGGCUUCCAUCAGCCUCAGUCAUGUGUAUUGAGAAAAUUAAAUUGAUUUUAUCUAUAUAAGCAUACAAAGAAAAUAAAAUUGGUUCCAGAGACUAAUAGACACAGCAAAAAUCACUCAGGAAUUACUUUCCACAGAGCACGUUUUUUUGUUACCAUAAGCCUAACUUUGCUUUACUGUAAUUACCACAAGGUCUAAGCACUGAAGAUUCAGACUGUCCUUUAACUCCCUUAAAAUCUGAACUGGCACAAAAUGCAGAAUGUAUACAUUGGAUAAUAAUCCCAAAGUGUCUCAAAAAUAUCCUAUUGCAAUCCACAGUGGCACUGAGUUAUCCCCCAGUCACCAUGAUAAGAUGCCAUUAAUAAGCCUUCUUCCCUAUUGCAUUGUGGGCUAGUCUCAGGAGAGACAAAGGAUAAGAGUUCCUGUAGACUAAAAAAAUCAAGAAAUGGACUCCGUUAGUCUACACACCUUCUGUUAAACCUCUGCAGUCAAACCAACUGCAGAUGUCUUGGCAGCUGCCCUUCCUCUAGGUUCAACCUGGGUGGUCAAGAAGGGGAAUCUUGUUCCAUAGCCAGUUUGUGUCUGUCACAUGGCCCAGGCUUUUUCAUCACUUUGGACAAAUGAUUGCACUUGUGCUAGCUCCAGUCCAACACUACUAUCAUGAUACCCAUCUCCGGUACAACAGCAGGGGCCAAGGAAUAGCACAGAUUGAGAGGGGGAACUGAACUUGUUCUCUUUGCAAAAGGGCCUGAGGAGCUUUGCACUUCAUCAAUGGACACCAGGAGCACACAAAUGUCACAGAGCUAAGAAGGGAAAUUGGCAGAAAGUUCAUGAAAGAACAGCACAUUGCUAUGGGCAGGGUGUACGCCAUUUCUGGUGUAUUGCACUUUUGUGGCAAGAGGAUUGCAAGACUCAGUAAGUGUUCCCCAGCUGCAAUGGUAGAGCAAGAAGGAAGACAUUUCUUCAAAGUCUGUGUAAAUAUCAUCUAUAGAUGAUAUAAAAUGAAAACUGCAGAAUGGAAUUACAAUCUUAUAUAAUCCAAAACCGAGAUGGAGGGAAAUCAAUUCGUGUGUUUCUUUUUUGGUCCGUUUAGGUUUUCUGUUGUUUGUUCUUGUUUUUGUUUUCUUUUUUUCUCUUUUUUAUGUACGGUUGUUUUGUUUUUCUGUUUGCUUAUG